UCAGUUCUUAUAUCUCACUGAAAAGUUACUCUUCAGGUGAUUAUGUCUGAUUUUAAGUGUGAUGAGAUAUUUGGACUAGAAAUGAGAAAAAUACACUUGAUCAGAUUUAGAGUUUUGCAGUGCAGCUCACAUCUGAUCCUGUCA